GCUAUAAAUAAAAGCUUGUCUGCUUUGAGUGAUGUUAUAUUUGCAUUGGCUAAGAAAGAGGAUCAUGUUCCUUUCAGAAACUCAAAGUUGACAUAUUUGCUCCAGCCGUGUUUAGGAGGAGACUCAAAAACCUUAAUGUUUGUGAAUAUAUCACCUGAUCCAUCUUCUACUGGAGAGUCCCUUUGCUCUCUUCGGUUUGCGGCUAGAGUGAAUGCUUGUGAGAUUGGAAUACCUCGCAGACAAACUUCCGCAAAACUCCUCGACUCUCGCCUGAGUUACGGUUAAACAUGAUCCUCUUGAGUUUCUAUCUCAUAUGUAUAACAACGGCAAUUGUUUUAGAGGUUUGUAAUUUUCUGAUUGUGGUUUUGACAUAGAAUUUAUUUCUGUACCAAGCUCAUAAGCAUCAGGAACUCUAGUGUGCUCUCAAUUUGAUUGUGUAAGCAACUUGCUAUCUUGGCAAUGUCGUGUGAGGAAAUCUCCACUAUUGUGUAAUGUAAUUUGUCUGAUAAGUUCUUGAUCUGUUUAA